rnacentral:lncRNA from 1 species
CUUUGAUGUAAAAAUUAUAUAUUUGUUUUAUUUUUGAACAUAUGUCCAACAAUGGUCGGAUUAUUUCAUCACCUAUCAAUAAAUCAGUGAUGUGUUUGGGUUUUUACAUCAGAGGCCCUUGAGGGCCCUUGAGGGCCUCGGGUGUAUUGCCAUCGCCUAAUUUUCUAUUUAUAGAUAAGCAUAUAUAAUUAGUUUUGGUUUGAUAACCGACAUUAAAAUUAUAGACCCGCGGACAUUAUAGUGCAGAAUAAAAUUCCUUAUCGCUUCUUUUAAAUUCAUGUUUUCAAUGGAUACUCAGAUUUUUUUGAUUUUUUUAAAUGCAAAUUAAUAAUAUGAAAAUGUUUUGUCGUUAGAAAUAUUCGUAUAUUAAUCAAACGAUCUUCAAUAUCAAUGACAUACCGAAAAAUUGUUGUUGCGGAUGAAUACCACGAAUGCAUAUUCAUCAAGUGGGCAAGAGCGAGCUUGAGGAAAAACGAGAGAAAAUCAAUUCACGCAAUUACACACAGAAAGGUAAUUAUAUUUCAAUUAUUUGAUUUUGAGUAACCUCUUUAAACCGUUUGUAGCAUAUAUGUCUAUAAUAUUAACGUAGCAAAAUCAGGAAUAUUUAAUCUGAC